rnacentral:rRNA from 1 species
UACGUAGGUGGCAAGCGUUGUCCGGAUUUAUUGGGUUUAAAGGGUGCGCAGGCGGUUGGGUGUGUCAGAUGUGAAAUCCCGAGGCUAAACCUCGGAACUGCGUCUGAAACUACUCGACUAGAGUAUUGGAGAGGGUAACGGAAUUCACGGUGUAGCAGUGAAAUGCGUAGAUAUCGUGAGGAACACCAGAGGCGAAGGCGGUUACCUGGACAAUUACUGACGCUCAGGCACGAAAGCAUGGGGAGCAAAAGGG